ACAAGCAGACUUUAACAACAGGAUAUCAAUUCACAGGAAGGAAAAAAAAACAAUGCAAUGAAACAAACAAACACUUACGAGGCCAACACAAAACAACCGACAGCAACGAAGAAGCAAUACAGUACUACAAGGGAAGACAACAACAACAACAACAUAACAAAAACAAAACAAACAAACGCACAUACAUUAACAGCAAUGCAAAACUGUAAAUAAAUAAAAAACAAGAUGAAUUGAAUCUACGAGGAGAAAGAUAAACAAGAGCAGAAACAAUGAGGACACAGACAGACAGGUGGAAAAAAUACAACACAUUCACACACACACACAUACACAUACACAUAGAAUAGAAAAGAAAAACAAAUAGGUAAAUAAAGAGCAGGAACAAAGAACAGGGACAGGAAAGAAUAAGACAAACACACAUACAAUAAAUAAUAGAAGAAAAAACAGGGUAAAAAAUAAGUAAAUAGCAAAAACAAGGAGCAGAAAAGAUAGAAAAAACAAGGAACACACACACACACA